AAGCUCAAAUUUGAAAUCUGGCAGUCUAUUUUUUCUUCUUUGGCUGUCCGAGUUGUAAUCUAGAGAAGUGCUUACCUGCACUGGACCAUGUAUAAGUCUCCUGGAAUGGAGCGUCGCAGAGGGUGAGAAUCCCGUCUUUGACAUGGACCGCCAGUGUGUUGUGGUGUGCUCUCAAAGAGUCGAGUUGUUUGGGAAUGCAGCUCUAAAUGGGUGGUAAACUCCAUCUAAAGCUAAAUAUUGGCGAGAGACCGAUAGCGAACAAGUACCGUGAGGGAAAGAUGAAAAGGACUUUGGAAAGAGAGUUAAACAGUAUGUGAAAUUGUUGAAAGGGAAACGCUUGAAGUCAGUUGUGUCGGCUAGGGAUCAACCUAGCUCUUUUGCUGGGUGAACUUCCUAUUCUGACAGGCCAACAUCAGUUUUGACCGCCGGAAAAGAGCGGAGGGAAUGUGGCACCUUCGGGUGUGUUAUAGCCCUUUGUCAUAUGCGGCGGUCGGGACUGAGGGAUGCAGCGUGCCGCGAGGCUGGGUUUCGACCAUGUUCACGCUUAGGAUGUUGGCUUUUAAUGGCUUCAAUCGACCCGUCUUGAAACACGGACCAAGGAGUCUAACAUGCCUGCGAGUGUUUGGGUGGAAAACCCUUGCGCGCAAUGAAAGUGAAAGUUGAGAUCCCUGUCGUGGGGAGCAUCGACGCCCGGACUUGAGCUUUCAGCGACGGAUCCGCGGUAGAGCAUGCAUGUUGGGACCCGAAAGAUGGUGAACUAUGCCUGAAUAGGGCAAAGCCAGAGGAAACUCUGGUGGAGGCUCGUAGCGAUUCUGACGUGCAAAUCGAUCGUCAAAUUUGGGUAU
rnacentral:rRNA from 1 species